ACAUGCCUACAUCAUAGUGUUAAUGCACUGGAUCCCAUUAGAAUUUUGCAGUUAAGUGAGCACAGGCUAGAGUAGUAUUGGGAUGGGUGACCGACUGGGAAGUCCUAGUGUUUUACAUGCC
rnacentral:rRNA from 1 species